ensembl:lncRNA
UUAAAGUUGUUGAGUCUCUAAAUUGUGAUUCAAUUUAAAAGAAAUCAAUAUCAAAACUUUUCUGAGAACUUGAUUAAAUAAUUUUAUAUUUAACCCAAAGAAAUAAAGAAAUAGCUAUAAAAUUAAAUUUAAAAGAUAAUACAUAAUUUCCAUAACUAAAGGAAGAUGAUUCUGGUGUCAGAGCAGAUACUCAUAUCAAAAGUAUAAAAUAGAAAAUAUAAGAUAGACCCCAAAUUUAUAAUUGAGUAGCAAUAAAUUUAAAAUCUAAAGUUAGCCAGAGAAACAGAUGGGUUGUAGCUCUGGGACAACAAAUGUUUUUUAAAAAUAAGAUAGUUUACUGUUCAUAGAUGAAUUUAAAAUGGAAAAGUACUAGAUGAAAAAUACCUUAAAUAUAGAUUUAUAAAAUCUUUGGAUGAGGAUGAUUUAAAAUUUUAUGGUCCAAGGUCUGACAUUAUGAAUUAAAUAUUUAGAAUAUUAAUUACAUAAAAGUUAAAAAUGGCACCUUACUAUGGGAAAAACAAACAAAAAAGUGUUAAAAAGCAAAUGGCACAACAAGAAAAUCAGCUGCAAAAUUUACAAAGUCCUUAUAAAUUCUCAGUAUAUGAAUCAUUAUGAAGAAAACUGGGAAACAAUCCUAAUGGAAAACCACAAAAUACUUCACUAGAGAAAUAGGAAAAUGACUCAGAUAUUUGUUUUAGAUUCUUAUAGUAGAAACAGAAAUUAGACCAGUUAUAUUUGAAACAAUAAUUAUUAAAACUCUUCAGAAUAUACACAACCUUUUAUCUAGCAAUUCUGUUUCUAAGAAUGGAUUCUAAGGAAAUAGUUGAAUAAGUAUACUAAAUGUGUAUGCAAAGAUGUUGAUCUAACUUAGCACAAUUGUAGUACAGAAUUCUUUUUAUAUAUUACUGGAUUUGCUAAUAUUUUGUUAAGAUUUUUUGUGUCUGUUUGUGAGAGAUGUUGUUCUAUUAUUUUCAUUUCUUGUUAUUUUUAUUUGGUUUUGUAUUAAGGCAAUGCUGGCAUCAUAGAAUAAGUUAGGAAGUAUUCCUUCUUGUGUUCUGGAAAACAUUGUGGGCAGUUGAUAUAAUUUCUUAGGGAAUAAUAGAAGAGUGAGAAUUCUGCUCUGUAACGACAAUUAGAAUAUAUGAAUUGGAUACUAAAUUUGUGCGAUACACUGAAAGAAAUUGUAAAUCAUGUUCUGUCCCUAGCUUUACCUGUUUAAAAAUAAAUGAGUCCCAUUUCUCUCUAACUAAUUGUGCUGAGACAAUUCUUAUCUUCAGAAGUCAAGGAACAGCUGUUUACUAAUGGAUCACAGCAGGAGAAUAAAUGCAGCAGUCUAGGAUAGGAUAUUUUUCACUCGUGUGCAACUUGUUUCUCAAUAUUUUGUCCUCUGUUGUGGAUUAUAAAGUGCGUAUAUGAAAGUAAACAUCAGGAGAUCACUCUUCCUCUCCCUGCAUGAAGAAUAACACUUCAAGGCAUAUUAGUCAUUUGUAUUUUCUGAGCACUGUGUAACACAGUUUUUUAUUGUAUAUAAUAAGUACAAAUGGAAACAUGUUUUCAGAUUACUUUUCUCUUUAAUCAUAAGGACAACAUAUUAAGAUGUGAAUAGUUCUUCAAAUAAGUCAUAUCUGAUUUGCUUGUUUCUGUGUUUUGGUGUAUUAUGUUAUCACAAGUUGCUGCAUGCCUUCCACAAUUACAUGGCUAUUACAACAAUCUAAGUAACAUAUAAGAGUAAACUAGAGGAGCAGAGAUUAGAAUUAGAACACUUCAAGAAGGCAAGAAUUUUCAAGGGUUUCAAAUAUUUCAGAGGUCAUAUAUAAAAUGAAAAAAAAAAGAAACUCAACAACAGAUUUGGCAAUUUGGAGAGUUUUGCUAGAAUUGCAAUUUGGGUUGAGACCCACCUGGGUUGUUGUAAGAGGUAAGGAUUGCUUAUCAACUAUUUCUUUAAAAGGAUUUACAGUAAGGGCCAUCAGAAUUCAUUUUUGAGGAAACAGUGUACAUUUCUUUGAAUUAGGAAUAUAUCUGGAACAAUACCUAUUUUGACUAUUAAUUGACAUUUCAACUUGAUUGAAAUAAAAAGCUCCUAGCAGGUUGGUGGGGCACAUUUCUGGGUGUGUUUGUGUGUUUGAUGGAAACUUCACCUUGGUUGCUAAAUCUGGUUCUUCCCCAUUUUCUGGCAUUGUUUCUCUGCUCUGCUUCCCAGCCACAAUGAACUAAGUAUCUUUGCUCCACCAUGUAUUUACCCAAAGAAGUAAAAAACUUAUUAUCUCACAAAAUCCUAUACACAGAGGUAUUUAUAUCAGCUUUAUUCAUAAUUACCAAAUCUUUGAAGCAAGCAAGAUGUCCUUCAUAGAUGAAUAGAUAAAUAAAUUAUGGUAUAUUUAGACAAUAAAUAUUGUUCAGUGCUAAAAAAUAAAUUAACUACCAAGCAUGAAAAAACCUGGAAAAAACUUGAAUAGUUGUAAGUGAAAGAAGCCAAUCUGAAAAGGCCACAUGUUGUAUAAUUCUAACAAUAUGACAUUCUAGAAAAAGUAAAACUAUAGACAAUAUAAGGACCAAUAGUUGCCACAGAAUUUAAAGAGGGAAAGAUGAAUAGGUGGAGGCAUGGGAAAUUUUUAAGGCAGUGAAAAUAUUCUCUAUGAUAAUAUAAUAGUAUAUAUAUGUCAUUAUAUAGUCAUACAAACCCAUAAAAUGUACAAUACCGAGAAUUAACCCUAAUGUAAACUCUGAACAUCAAGUGAUAAUGAUGUGUCAGUGUAGCUUUAUUGAUUAUAGCAAAUGUAGCACAGUGGUGGGAAUAUUAAUAUUAGGGGAGGCUAUCCAUUUGUAGAGACAAGAGUUAUACACCGUAAGAUAUCAAUCCACUUUCCUCUCAAUUGUUCUGUGAACCUAAAACUGCUCUAAAAGAGAAUCAACUAAAGAAGUACUUCUUGUACUUCUAUAGGCAAUGUACAAUUUCAGAGCUAGGAAUCCUUCCAGGGGUAAACAAAUUAAUCAUAAUGUUAAAGAAGUAAGGGCUAGGGAUUUAGCUCAGUGGUUCCACUGCCUGCCUCGCAAGCUCAAGGUCCCGAGUUUGAUCCCCGGUACCAAAAAAAGUAAAUUGAUCAAGAAGUUCUUGUAAUUGUAAGUGAUUAUGGACCUAAAACUAGGGUUUAAAAAUAUAUGAGGAAAAAGCUGAUAGGACCUGCAAGGAGAAAGAAACUCAUAAUUGUAGCUAGAUAUCUAAAUACCCACCUUUCAAUAAUUAAUAGAAUAAGCAGUCAGAAGAUAAUCAAGGAUAUAGAAAACAUUGAAAGCAAGGAUAGCAAUCUUAUUCUCAAAGUGGACUUUAAGCUAAAAUGUAACAAAAAACUUCUGCCUAAAAUAUAUAGAAAACUCCCAGUGUUCAAUAAUAAAAAACAACUCAAUUAAAUAUCAGCAAAGUUUUGAGUAAAUAUUUCACUAAAGUAGAUAUAAGAAUGAAAAAUCAGUACAUGAAAAGAUACUCCACAUAAUUCAUCAUUAAUGAAAUGAAUUUUAAAACCAUAAUAAAAUGCUGCUCCACAACUAUUUGAAUGACUAAAAUUAGAGAUUCACCAUACCAAAUGUUGGAGAGGAUGUAGAAAAACUGAAAUUUUCACAUGGUUUUGUUGGAAAUAGAGAAACUUUAGAAAACAGUUUGGCACUUCCUUAAAUUUUCAAUCAUACACCUGUCAUUUGAUCCAGCUACUCUACUCCUACGUAUUUAUCCAAGAGAAAUAAAAGCACAUAGCCAUACAAAAACCAUAUAUGUCCAUUCAUAGGGUGGCUAUUUGUAAUAACUCAAAUCUCUUCAACAGGUGAAUAGAUAAACAAACCAUGGUGUAUUCUUAUAAUGGAAUACUAUUCAACAGUAGACCAAAUGAACCAUAUAUAACAACUCAGAAUAGUCAUGCUCCAUGAACGAAGCUGCUCUCCGAAAAGUG